rnacentral:ribozyme from 1 species
ACAGGCGAUGGAACGGUCGAUCCGCGCCGGAGCAAUGGG